rnacentral:rRNA from 1 species
AACGAACGCUGGCGGCAGGCUUAACACAUGCAAGUCGAGCGGACCCUCCGGGGUUUUCUGCGGACCUCUGGUUAACACGUGGGAAUUUGCCCUUCUCUACCGUAUCGUCUCGUUUAACUUGGGUUAAUACCGUUUACGCCCUUUCCGGGUAAGAUCUCUCGGGGCAGGAUUGGUCCGCGUUUGAUUAGGUAGUUGGUGGGGUAAUGGCCUACCAAGCUGACGAUCCAUAGCUGGUUUGAGAGGAUGAUCAGCCACACUGGCACUGAGACACGGGUCAGACUCCUACGGGAGGCAGCAGUGGGGAAUCUUAGACAAUGGGGGCAACCCUGAUCUAGCCAUGCCGCGUGAGUGAUGAAGGCCUUAGGGUUGUAAAGCUCUUUCAGAUGGGAAGAUAAUGACGGUACCAGCAGAAGAAGCCCCGGCUAACUCCGUG